AGUGAAUCAAAUACGUCCGAAACAUUCAAUUAUAAACAAUAUAAUUAAUAAAAACGUUUUUUUACUAAUAUACUAUAAAUGAAGUUAGCAUAAAAUGAUACGAUUGAGCUAACAAUUUAAACAUGCGACAUUGUUCAACGAAGUCAUAUAUAAAACUUUGGUGGAAUUAAAGUUUUCAUAAGAUUUAAAAUGAACGAAAUUAAUAACAAUAAUUUUUUACUCUAAAUGUAUUCAUAUCUUACAACAUAAAUAUUUUAAUGUACAAAACGUUUUGAAGGAAAAUAAAUAAUUACGGUU